UUGCAUAUUCAAAAAGCGGAGGAAAAGAAACCAACCGGGAUUGCCUUAGUAACGGCGAGUGAAGCGGCAAAAGCUCAAAUUUGAAAUCUGGUACCUUCGGUGCCCGAGUUGUAAUUUGGAGAGGGCAACUUUGGGGCCGUUCCUUGUCUAUGUUCCUUGGAACAGGACGUCAUAGAGGGUGAGAAUCCCGUGUGGCGAGGAGUGCGGUUCUUUGUAAAGUGCCUUCGAAGAGUCGAGUUGUUUGGGAAUGCAGCUCUAAGUGGGUGGUAAAUUCCAUCUAAAGCUAAAUAUUGGCGAGAGACCGAUAGCGAACAAGUACAGUGAUGGAAAGAUGAAAAGAACUUUGAAAAGAGAGUGAAAAAGUACGUGAAAUUGUUGAAAGGGAAGGGCAUUUGAUCAGACAUGGUGUUUUGUGCCCUCUGCUCCUUGUGGGUAGGGGAAUCUCGCAUUUCACUGGGCCAGCAUCAGUUUUGGUGGCAGGAUAAAUCCAUAGGAAUGUAGCUUGCCUCGGUAAGUAUUAUAGCCUGUGGGAAUACUGCCAGCUGGGACUGAGGACUGCGACGUAAGUCAAGGAUGCUGCAUAGUCU
rnacentral:rRNA from 1 species